AACUCUGCAAUAAGCGAAAGCUUGACAGGGUUAUUCUGAGUGAUUUCCGCUAAGGAGAUCUUUUGGCACCUCUAAAAAUGGUGCAGAAUAAGGGGUGGGCAAGCCUGGUGUCAGCCGCCGCGGUAAUACCAGCACCCCGAGUGGUCGGGACGACUAUUGGGCCUAAAGCAUCCGUAGCCGGUUCUACAAGUCUUCCGUUAAAUCCACCUGCUUAACAGUUGGGCUGCAGAGGAUACUAUAGAGCUAGGAGGCGGGAGAGGCAAGCGGUACUUAGUGGGUAGGGGUAAAAUCCGUUGAUCCACUGAAGACCACCAGUGGCGAAGGCGGCUUGCCAGAACGCGCUCGACGGUGAGGGAUGAAAGCUGGGGGAGCAAACCGGAUUAGAUACCCGGGUAGUCCCAGCUGUAAACGAUGCAGACUCGGUGAUGAAUAGGCUUCGUGCCUAUUCAGUGCCGCAGGGAAGCCGUUAAGUCUGCCGCCUGGGGAGUACGGUCGCAAGACUGAAACUUAA
rnacentral:rRNA from 1 species